AUGACAGAUAAUAAAAAACAAACAGAACCAAACUUAAUUUGUAAGUUUAUCGACUAUAUUGGAGCAUCAACCUCUCUUAAUUCACUGGUAACUCACGAUUUUGUCAAGUGUCGAACGAUUGAAUCCAACACAAAUGAGCUUGUUAGCAGCUUUAGGAUUGUAAAAAUUACACUGUGCCGGUAA